AGUGAACGCUGGCGGUAGGCCUAACACAUGCAAGUCGAACGGCAGCACAGUAAGAGCUUGCUCUUACGGGUGGCGAGUGGCGGACGGGUGAGGAAUACAUCGGAAUCUACUUUUUCGUGGGGGAUAACGUAGGGAAACUUACGCUAAUACCGCAUACGACCUACGGGUGAAAGCAGGGGAUCUUCGGACCUUGCGCGAAUGAAUGAGCCGAUGUCGGAUUAGCUAGUUGGCGGGGUAAAGGCCCACCAAGGCGACGAUCCGUAGCUGGUCUGAGAGGAUGAUCAGCCACACUGGAACUGAGACACGGUCCAGACCCCUACGGGAGGCAGCAGUGGGGAAUAUUGGACAAUGGGCGCAAGCCUGAUCCAGCCAUACCGCGUGGGUGAAGAAGGCUUUCGGGUUUUAAAGCCCUUUUGUUGGGAAAGAAAAGCAGCAGGUUAAUACCCCGCUGUUCUGACGGUACCCAAAGAAUAAGCACCGGCUAACUUCGUG
rnacentral:rRNA from 1 species